CCGGCACGGGUGAGUAACACGUAUCCAACCUGCCGUCUACUCUUGGACAGCCUUCUGAAAGGAAGAUUAAUACAAGAUGGCAUCAUGAGUCCGCAUGUUCACAUGAUUAAAGGUAUUCCGGUAGACGAUGGGGAUGCGUUCCAUUAGAUAGUAGGCGGGGUAACGGCCCACUAGUCUUCGAUGGAUAGGGGUUCUGAGAGGAAGGUCCCCCACAUUGGAACUGAGACACGGUCCAA
rnacentral:rRNA from 1 species